AUUGAACGCUGGCGGCAUGCUUUACACAUGCAAGUCGAACGGUAACAGGCCGCAAGGUGCUGACGAGUGGCGAACGGGUGAGUAAUGCAUCGGAACGUGCCCAGUCGGGGGGGAUAACGCAGCGAAAGCCGCGCUAAUACCGCAUACGAACUACGGAUGCAAGCGGGGGACCGAAAGGCCUCGCGCGAUUGGGGCGGCCGAUGUCAGAUUAGGUAGUUGGUGGGGUAAAGGCCCACCAAGCCAACGGUCUGUAGCUGGUCUGAGAGGACGACCAGCCACACUGGGACUGAGACACGGCCCAGACUCCUACGGGAGGCAGCAGUGGGGAAUUUUGGACAAUGGGCGAAAGCCUGAUCCAGCAAUGCCGCGUGUGUGAAGAAGGCCUUCGGGUUGUAAAGCACUUUUGUCCGGAAGGAAAUGGCUCUGGUUAAUACCUGGGGUCGAUGACGGUACCGGAAGAAUAAGGACCGGCUAACUACGUGCCAGCCGCCGCCGUAAUAC
rnacentral:rRNA from 1 species